rnacentral:rRNA from 1 species
GACGAACGCUGGCGGCGUGCUUAACACAUGCAAGUCGAACGGAAAGGCCCUGCUUUUGUGGGGUGCUCGAGUGGCGAACGGGUGAGUAACACGUGAAUAACCUGCCCUUGACUUUGGGAUAACUUCAGGAAACUGGGGCUAAUACCGGAUAGGAGCUCUUGCUGCAUGGUGGGGGUUGGAAAGUUUCGGCGGUUGGGGAUGGACUCGCGGCUUAUCAGCUUGUUGGUGGGGUAGUGGCUUACCAAGGCUUUGACGGGUAGCCGGCCUGAGAGGGUGACCGGCCACAUUGGGACUGAGAUACGGCCCAGACUCCUACGGGAGGCAGCAGUGGGGAAUAUUGCACAAUGGGCGGAAGCCUGAUGCAGCAACGCCGCGUGCGGGAUGACGGCCUUCGGGUUGUAAACCGCUUUCGCCUGUGACGAAGCGUGAGUGACGGUAAUGGGUAAAGAAGCACCGGCUAACUACGUG